GCGGCUGUUUCUGGACCAUCUGGGAGGUUUCAGCUGUGCUCUUGUUCCUGAACCGAGAGUGGUUUCUGCAUGCAGGGAGCCUCAAAACCAGCACUUGGUCUACUACUGGAUAAGGAUGUUUGGCUGUGAUAGGAGCCUGGAUGAGAAGGCAGUGGCUGAGGCUAAGUCCAGAUAAGGAGGAGGCAAUUCCAGUUGGCAAGUUACAAGUGAAAGCGACAAACGACCCAGCAACACUGACGUAGCAGAGAUAACAAAGGACAAUGUUUUCAUCCUGCUCAUGGAGAUAAAUCAUGCAAUUAAAAAAGCAACCAGAGAAGUAAACAUCUAGAAGCUUCUCACUGUCACUACCCAUCUGAGUUUUGCUGUGUCAACGUCAGUUGGACCCCAACAGUACUUCUUGCAGUUCGUUUGAUGACUACAGGAAGACAACACAACAAAUAAAUCAACAGACUCAGCUGAACAGUUACCAGCCUGGAAGCAGAAGCAAGGGUUUUCCUGAAGCAUUGGUUGUUAAUUCCCGGGCUCAUGACAGCUCUUGUUCUGAAAACAACAGCUUGGGAAGUCACUGUGAGCCCCGUUGAAGAAAGGCACAGCUCACGUGCCUCUGUCAGUAUAAGUUUCCCUGCCUGGAACACAAAACCCCUCACAUCCUGCUCUCCAACACAGUCACUUCAGACAGAUGAACAGAAGGAAUUGGUCCCCUGGGGUCUGAAACAGUUUAGAAACUGGAGCUUCUGUGACACGCAUGAUUUAAUUUCAUACAGGUAGAGAAGUCCUGCUGUGAACAGCUUGUGAAUGUGACAGAGCUGCAGCACCUGAGAACAGCAUUGCAAGCCACUUGCCCAACAGCCUUGGCAACAGCUCCACUUAGCCACGAGUCUGUAGAUGUUGUGGUGACUAAUUGCAGCUGAACCAGAGUGGGGUCAGUUGCAUGUCAUGACACUGCAGAGCUUGCUUAAGGAAUGUUUUAGUGCCUGAAAGACACCACUGGCCAUGCCAAAGCUGAAAAAUUAACUAUGGUGGUCUUGUUUGAGCAACAGCGUGAUACAAAAGGACAUAGUAAAAUAACCUAAUGUUUCUAAU